UACGUAGGGUGCGAGCGUUGUCCGGAAUUAUUGGGCGUAAAGGGCUCGUAGGCGGUUUGUCGCGUCGGGAGUGAAAUCCACUGGCUUAACUGGUGGCUUGCUUUCGAUACGGGCAGACUGGAGGUAUGCAGGGGAGAACGGAAUUCCUGGUGUAGCGGUGAAAUGCGCAGAUAUCAGGAGGAACACCGGUGGCGAAGGCGGUUCUCUGGGCAUGUUCUGACGCUGAGGAGCGAAAGUGUGGGGAGCGAACAGG
rnacentral:rRNA from 1 species